AUUGAACGCUGGCGGCAUGCCUUACACAUGCAAGUCGAACGGCAGCACGGGUGCUUGCACCUGGUGGCGAGUGGCGAACGGGUGAGUAAUACAUCGGAACGUACCUUAUCGUGGGGGAUAACGCAGCGAAAGCUGUGCUAAUACCGCAUACGCCCCGAGGGGGAAAGCGGGGAAUCGAAAGACCUCGCGCGAUUAGAGCGGCCGAUGCCUGAUUAGCUUGUUGGUGGGGUAAAAGCCCACCAAGGCGACGAUCAGUCGCUGGUCUGAGAGGAAGAUAAGACACAAUGGGACUGGGACACGGCCCAGACUCCUACGGGAGGCAGUAGUGGGGAAUUUUGGACAAUGGGGGCAACCCUGAGCCAGCAAUGCCGCGUGAGUGAAGAAGGCCUUCGGGUUGUAAAGCUCUUUUGUCAGGGAAGAAACACCGGCUCUAACACAGUCCGGGAAUGACGGUACCUGAAGACUAAGCACCGGCUAACUACGUGCCAGCCGCCGCAGUAA
rnacentral:rRNA from 1 species